rnacentral:rRNA from 1 species
AUGGUUAAAGAUCUCUUAGAAGAAGAUAUUGAUGGGCAUGUUAUUUACUUCUGUGAAGAAGCUGCUAGAAUUGCCAAACCCGAUAAAAGGGAUAAACAUAGACCUGUUGUGGGCAUGCCUGUCAUCUCAGUUAAAAUAGGAGAUCACUGUUAUCAUGGCUUAUGUGACAUGGGUUCUAGUGUGAGUGCUAUUCCCUACACUUUAUAUCAAGAAAUUAUGAAAGACAUAGCACCCGCUGAGAUAGAAGAAAUAGAUGUUACUAUUAAACUUGCUAAUAGAGACACCAUAUCACCAUUUGGGAUUGUUAGACAUGUUGAAGUCUUGUGUGGGAAAAUAAAAUACCCUACUGAGUUUCUUGUUCUUGGUUCCCCACAAGAUGACUUCUGUCCCAUUAUCUUUGGUAGACCUUUCUUGAACACAGUUAAUGCUAAGAUAGAUUGUAAGAAAAAAACUGUCGGUGUUAGUUUUGGUGGUGAGUCUCAUGAGUUUAAUUUUUCCAAGUUUAGUAGAAAUCUUCAUGAAAAAUAA